GGAGGGGUGCCAGAGCGGCCGAAUGGGACGGUCUUGAAAACCGUUGAGCGAGAGCUCCGUGGGUUCAAAUCCCACCCCCUCCGCCA
rnacentral:tRNA from 4 species